rnacentral:miRNA from 1 species
UUCGUAGACCCUGCCCUCCU